GGCGAGAACACCCGGCGAAUUUAAGCAUAUUACUAACCGGAGGAAAAGAAACCAACAGGGACGUCCUCAGUAGCGGCGAGCGAAGCGGACGAUGCCCAAACCGAACCGCGGUUCCCGAGGGGGCCGCGGAGUGUGGAGAGGAUGAGCUCGCGAGGGGGCGGGACGGGUUCCAAUCCGUCUGGAAGGGCGGAGGCACGGAGGGCGAUUCCCCGUACGUGCUCGGUCCGUCCCCGACGAGCGAACGCAUCGGAGAGUCGGGCCGCUUGAGAGUGCAGCCCGAAUGGGGUGAUAGGUCUCAUCCAAGGCUAAGUACGUGGGAGACGCCGAUAGCGAACAAGUACGGCGACGGAAAGGUGAAAAGAACCUCGAAAGGGGGGUCAAAAGCGCUCGAAAUCGUAGAGGGGGAAGCGGGACCUGACCGACGAGACCUCGUCGUCGCUCGCGCUCGACCACGCCUUCGUCGCGGAGUUCCGGUA
rnacentral:rRNA from 1 species